GUGAACGCUGGCGGUCGGCCUAACCCCUGCCAGUCGAACGGCAGCACAGUAAGAGCUUGCUCUUACGGGUGGCGAGUGGCGGACGGGUGAGGAAUACAUCGGAAUCUACUUUUUCGUGGGGGAUAACGUAGGGAAACUUACGCUAAUACCGCAUACGACCUACGGGUGAAAGCAGGGGAUCUUCGGACCUUGCGCGAUUGAAUGAGCCGAUGUCGGAUUAGCUAGUUGGCGGGGUAAAGGCCCACCAAGGCGACGAUCCGUAGCUGGUCUGAGAGGAUGAUAGCCCGACGUGGAAGUGAACACGGGACCAGGCUCCUGCGGGAGGCACCAGAGGGGAAUGUGGGACAGUGGGGGCAAACCUGGCCCAACCGUCCCGCGUGGGAGAAAAAGGCCUCGGGGUUGUAAAGCCGUUUUGUUGGGAAAAAAAAGCGGCGGGUUAAGACCCCGCGGUAGUGACGGUACCUAAAGAAAAAGCACCGGCUAACUACGUG
rnacentral:rRNA from 1 species